GGAAAUCUCACCAGGCCCGGACACUGGAAGGAUUGACAGAUUGAGAGCUCUUUCUCGAUUCGGUGGGUGGUGGUGCAUGGCCGUUCUUAGUUGGUGGAGUGAUUUGUCUGGUUAAUUCCGAUAACGAACGAGACUCUGUCCUGCUAAAUAGUUGGGUCGUCCUUCGUGCGAUCCAAGUUCUUCUUAGAGGGACUGGCUGCGUCUAGCAGCACGAGAUUGAGCAAUAA
rnacentral:rRNA from 1 species